rnacentral:rRNA from 1 species
UUCCGGUUGAUCCUGCCGGAGGCUACCGCUAUUGGAAUCCGAUUAAGCCAUGCGAGUCGAGAGAUUUCGGAUCUCGGCAGACGUCUCAGUAACACGUGGAUAAUCUACCCUUGAGUGGGGGAUAAGCUUGGAAACCUGAGUAUAAUACCCCAUAGGCCUAGGAUGCUGGAAUGCUUCUAGGCUGAAAGCUCCGGCGCUCGAGGAUGGAUCUGCGGCCUAUCAGGCAGUAGUGGGUGUAACGGACCCACUAACCUUCGACGGGUACGGGCCUUGAGAGAGGUUGCCCGGAGUUGGACUCUGAGACACGAGUCCAGGCCCUACGGGGUGCAGCAGGCGCGAAAACUUCACAAUGUGGGAAACCACGAUGAGGGGAUUCCAAGUGCCAACACUUUGUGUUGGCUGUUCACUUGCCUAAAAAGCUGGUGAAGUAAGAGCCGGGUAAGACGGGUGCCAGCCGCCGCGGUAAUACCCGCGGCUCGAGUGGUGGCCACUAUUAUUGAGCCUAAAGCGUUCGUAGCCGGUUUCGUAAAUUUCUGGGUAAAUCGGGCAGCUUAACUGUCCGAAUUCCGGAAAGACUGCGAAACUUGGGACCGGAGGAGGUUGGAGGUACUCCUGGGAUAGGGGUGAAAUCCUGUAAUCCUGGGGGGACCACCAGUGGCGAAGGCGUCCAACCAAAACGGCUCCGACGGUAAGGGACGAAGCCCUGGGGCGCAAACGGGAUUAGAUACCCCGGUAGUCCAGGGUGUAAACGCUGCAGGCUUGGUGUUGGGGGUCCUACGAGGGCGCCCAGUGCCGGAGAGAAGUUGUUAAGCCUGCCGCUUGGGGAGUACGUCCGCAAGGAUGAAACUUAAAGGAAUUGGCGGGGGAGCAC